GCUGCAUUGGGGCGGGUAGGGCUGUGCUGAUGCAGAGCAGAGGUGGGCAGAUGCAAAAAGUGGUCCAGCCAGCUGGCUUUGCAGGGUGCCCUUGACCCCGCCCGUGGUUAUGCAUCAUGCGUUCUUCAUGGUUUUGGACUUUUCUCUUGAUCUCAAACAGGAGUCUCAAUUUCAGAGGUCAUCUUAUCUCAUAAGGACUCUUGCAAGCCAGGUAUGCCAGGAUUCUGAACCUGGACCUUCCCAGCACAAUCCCAUUCCCCUCAGUGGAAGCCAUCUGAGGUGCUGAGGCAGAGCAAUGCGACCAGAAUCUUAUCCUCAGAGCUUUCGUCUGUAGACCAGGAGUGAUGGAGUGAGUGUGAAAGUUAAAGCCUGCUUGCCAUUUCCCUUCAACAUCUCUUCCAGGAUGACCUUUUCUGGAUUAGAUGCACCAGCCAGCAAGCUGGCCAGUCAGUCCCAGCAGAGGAUCGCUAACUAACUGGGAUUUCUCCUCCAGCCAAGAAGAGCCAUCAUUACUCAUCAUCUUGAUUGCACAUAGGGAAAUAGAAAGCAGGUGGCAGCAACGAAGGCAAAUUAUUCCUCCACCUGUACAAGACUUCUGCUGUUGCUUAAAUACCGAAGAUGACUGCACAGUCACAUCAGAAAUCUUGUAGACACACUCUUGCAUAAAUAUGAUUUGAAGACGAGUAUCAAGAUAAACACCAUUGCAGAAGUUGUGUCUGAGUCUCCUUCAGGAGCAUCUUGCAAGAUAAAUCAGAGGUUUGCUGGAAGACACCGACAACACGCUGCUCAGGGAACUCAUCACAUGGACAGAGGAGACACCCUUCCAGUUCUGACUCACAGGGCUCUGCCAGGGUUGCCCACCAUCCUUUUGUGAGGAACAGGGCUGGCACACGAGCAGGAGUUGCCAUACCAACAUGCUUCUCACUGGGCUGGUGGUGGGGCUGGCCCAUGUGCAGCCACAGUCCUGUUCUACCACCAUGCUGGUGUCCUCAUCAGGGCAAAAGUAUGAGAGGGGUGCAGUUCCAGCUCCCCUCCCCAGAGAGCAAGUGGAUUCACAUUAAAACCAGUUUUCACACUGAACUGGAGCCCAAAUGUAGGCACAGAUGGUGCCUCGAUGAGAAGCAUCCACAGCAGGUCAUGUUGGUUGAAGGGUGUGUGUGGAGGGAAAUGAGCACAGCCGCUUGGACAAGUUACGCCUGUAUAGUAAGUGACGUGUUGUACGGGACAGCCUGCAAACUCCUUUGUGUGGUUGUGCCUCUUCCCGGCAGCUAUUGCCCUUGUAAAAGAAACAACCUUUACGGCAAACACUGGAACCAGGCAACGCAGACAAACCACCGCAAGUUCCUGCAGGACCAGUGGGUAGCCGUCCGAAGACAUGAGGCCGGUGUGCCCAAGCCCAGCUUCCUCCUGUCUUUUCUUACAGCAUAGACACUCUGAAUUACAUUUUGCCUUGCUAAUUGAACAUUUUAGUAUCAUAUGCUUACAUCAGCUGUAUGUAAAUGAAAAAGGCCUUAAUGUGUUUGUUAAUGAAAAAGUUACAAUGGAAUAUUAAAGAAGAGUUUAUUUAACUUAGUUUAAUUUAAAGGCCACUUAGCACACUGAGCAUUAAUGAUCUACAGUAAAUGUAUUUCUUCAAAGGAUUUCUCCAUUAUUGGUUAUUCUUAGACAAGAGUCUACAUUGCAUAUAUAGGAUUUAGCUAAAUUGCUGCACUGGGUAACACAGUGUGAUAAAUGGACCUUAAUUCAUGCUAAAUUACAAAGAGAUUCCUUCAGAGGAAUUAUUACAUCCCUCUGAAUAUAAAAGACACUCUCUGUAUCUGAGGGUUUCCUGAGAAGCCAGGCAUUUCUGUGUGUAAUACCAAAUUGUAGAUGUAUUCAUUAUAAUAACAUUAAUCAUGAUGACUCCAUUUGUCAGUUCCACUCUAAUUAAGCAAUGCUGUCAUAAUGGACCAUUAUUUUUAAGUGUUAUCAGGGGCUGUUUACAAUGGGUUUAAUAGAGUUAGGAACUGACUGAGCAGUCUCUUAUCAGGUGUCUUUCCCAGUGCUGUGAGGUGGCAGAGCCUCAACAGGGGCACGGCGCGGACAGGGUGGCUGCGGCGUCGCUCUCAGCCUGACCCAGAUGCAUGUCCAGCCAAGGGGCUGGCAGGGUGCCGCUGACCCCAGCUGACCGAGGGCACACCCUGCAUCGUAAGAUGUUUUGCUCAGCAAUAAAAGCUCAGGGAAAGGAGGCAGAAAGGAGGGGACAUUAGGGUUAUGGUGCUGGUCUUCCCAAACACAGCUAUGCAUGCUGAGGCUCUGCUUUCCAGGAGUGGCUGGACACCUGCCCGCUGAUGGGAAGCAGGACAUAAACUUCUGUGCACAGUUCUGCUUCUCUUAUCAAACUGUCAUCACCUCAAACCAGGAGUUUUUCUCCCUUUUCCAGUUCUGGUUCUCUCUUCCAUCCUGCUGCAGGAGUGGUGGGUGACCAGGUGGUGGGAGUGUCAGCCCAUCACCCCCAGGCACAGAACCUGGGGUUCUGGCCAAAGAGGAGGCUCACAUGUGUGAAUCCUCUUGGAUAGUACCGGAAUCCAACUGGUCUGUACCCAACUUCUGGUUCCCCUUCACUAGCCUGCUCCUGGCUUAGCUCCGUGGAGGGUGAUUCUUGGAGCAGCUACUCUCCUGCUGCUGAGUGUUGGCAAAACUGUCUUUUGGCCCCACUCAGCUUUCUGGUAUCUUCUUCAAACUAAAGUCCUGUUGACUCAAACAGAGGUAUUUUCUGAUGUUUUACUUUCAAGGGCCUCAUUCUCUUAUCAUGUUCUAACCCUGUGGACCCCCUACAAACGUCCCAAGGGAAAUGAUCUUCAUCUUCCCUCAACCCCAUGUCACCCAGUGGAGGAUUUCUCUUUUGUUUGAAGGUAUUCAGACCCAGAUGGUGGAGGUAAGGGACGUGGUGGGUUCUCCAUGCACUGGUGUUGUCCUGCGGUGUGUGACAGUGGGAUGGUGUGGCCCUGUGAGAAGGGAAGGGUCCACUCUAAAAAUCCUGUGUGGUCCUACACUGACAAAGCCUUGGGGCUGGAAACAUUGGGCAAAUGGCCCACGUUUGAAGACCUUUCCAAGAAACUAGUCCUAAAAGUAAAGUUUUCCCUAAGACCUUUCACAGAGCACUUGCCUUUCCAGAGCAGUUUCGCCAGUUUGGUUGCACACACAAGUGAAUUUAUGCAGCAUGAUGCAGAAUUUCAUACCUGUUGGAAGAAGUUCUCUGGUUAAUCCAUUUCUUCAUGCUCUUUUGAAGCUUCUGCGAAACAUGUCCCAAUGCUAAUUAGUGCUUCUAGCCUUCAUUUGAGUUUGAUGUCACUGCAGCCUGCCAAACUUACCUAUUUUGCCACAGGUGGGACAGUUUCUUGUGCGUACAUUGGCAAGCUUUGGCUCUGCAGUUUUGGCUACACAUUUUAAAUACCUGGCACUCAGUUUCAAGUGUGGACAUGGCAUCCUGUUUCAAAUGUGCUCAAAGCCUUCUGUCCACCACAGCCUUUGGAGGGGUCAAUGAGUGAGGACCUUCACAUUCGCAGGCAGAGAGAAGUCCAUGCAGCUGGAUAGGUGCUGGCGCAUGUUCUCUGAUCCACCGUUCGGCCAUGGUCAGUAGUUCCACCAUUUCAGAAACACUGCCUGAAAGGAACCUUCCUAAUGGCUCUGAGACAGUACCUACACAGACAAGGAAUUUUCUUUUCUUCGUAGGGCAUUUCAAGUCUUUGGGUUGUUUUACUGAGUGGCUAAGGAUGAAAAUAGGUCAUCAUAUCCUGAGACAGCAGCCACAAGCUCUCACCAGCUGUCUGUGACAUUAUUUCCAGAUGUUCCUGCUCAUAGCUAUCAUGGCCCACUGCAGGACUCCUGGCAAAGGGGCUGUCACUUUAGUCUCUCUGUACCAGCUCCUGUGUAACCACCAUCUCUGCCCCUGACUUUCCUGUCUGGACUGCGUAUUGCCCUUGUCUGAAAAAUCUAUUACAAUACAGAGAUGUUCCUUUGUUUAACCAAGGGUCUUCAUUUCCUAUUCAUUAAAAGUUUAAAUGACAAUUCCUGGGCAUCUUAAACAAUAAGCAUUUGUACAGGCGCUUCAGAUAAAACCAUAUUUGCAUCCUUGAAGGGCAUUCUCACUGAACGGAGCAGUAUGGGGCCUCACACCUGGAGAGACAGGAAGACCCUGCGCCUCUCACCGUGGUUUUGUCAGAUCUAAUCCCACUGUUCUGCUGCCAGCAGGCUGACGUGGCAUUUCACAUCCAAACGUGGGAGGGCUUAAUGAGGAACGGGCACUGCCUGCCCGCUGCGGGACAGACAGUUUGCACCUCUCUUAACCUAGCACGGCUGAAAGACAGUAGAAGUACAAAAAGUAUAAAAAGCAGAGUCAGGAAUGGCAAUCCCUGCCACAAGCACCUCACUGCAAGCAGUGGACAGUCACAACAUAGCUACUGCUGUCACCAGCCAACAGUUCUGCAAUGUCCCUUUGCUGCAUCACUGUGAAUCUCCCCAAAGGCUGCCCGGGCAUAGACACUGGCUCUGGGAGGAAAGGUGGUUGGGUUGAUCCACCAUCUACUCCCCUCACGAAGUGCCAGGAUCUGCAUCUCAUCAUACUCUGCUGUGGGACAAUGGAUGGGUGCGGUCUCUGAACACAAGGCCUCUUCUGAGGUCUUGCUGCCUGGGAGGUGAGCCGUCCAUCUAGAUGCAGAGGGAUCUGAAGGGCUGGGGGCUUUCCUUGCUCCCCAGGAGGCACCAUCACCAGCAGAUGUCGCUUAUGAGAAGUUGAUUCUUCCGGUGCUCAGGGGGUAGCACGGGGGAUUCCUGCUCCUUCUAGUGACCUGGGGUUGUUCAGGGCACCCAUGUCUUGCGAAGUGCCAGAGGACAGCAAAUGCAAUGAGGUGGGCAGUGGGGCUGGGAGGUAUCACCUCAGUCCCCACAGGGCAGGGGACUUCAAGGGCUGUUCCCAAAAACCCAGAGAGCUGUGAGGUGAGCAUGGUGCAUGGAGAACAGCUGGUGAUCAAAGGCAGGAGAGGGCUUUGGGGCAGAGGGGGACACCCUGAGUCAAACGGGAUGUGCAGCCUGGCUGGACGAGGGCUGAUGGAUGAAUAAUUACAGAAACCUGAUUUCUGAGCACUUGUUCUUCUUAAAUCCACCCUGUGACACUGCCUGCUAAAGUGUGAGAACACCUGCUGCACUCUGAAGUACUAGUGCAUGAAAGUGUCCUCGCCUUGUAUCAUGGAGCAGAGAGCACCAGCUUCUCCUGGAAGUGGAACCUGCUGGCGAUCAAGUAAAUACUGGGUGUAAGCUGCUGUUUGACUAAAGUCUGCCUCUUUUGGCCUGUUGUCUGUGAUCAGACUCUGAUUUGCUUUAUUUACAAAUAUUUGCUGAAUUGUGGAAGGCUUCAUGAGCUGUGUUUCUCAAGCUUAAGACAGAAAUAUAUAGUGUUGGGACAAGGAACUAAAGAGACAUUGCACGCAUUCUCCUGAGCUCCCCGAGGACUUUACCUAUCACAAGUGAAGUUAAUGUUUAGUACGAGGAGUACAUCACUGUGGUAGAUUGACCACGGCCAGCAGCUCAGCAUCCACCCAGUCACUCACUUACUCUCCCCACAAAGUAGGAUGGGGGAGAGAAUAGGAAGAGCAAUAGUGAGAAAACUCAUGGGUUGAGACAAGAACAGUUUACUAAGUGAAGGAAAGGGGAAAACAAAACUAAAACCAUGUGAUGCAAAGGCAGUCACUCACUAUCUCCCACAAGCAGGUGGUGAUGCCCGGCCAGUCCUUUAGCUGUUCUGGAAAACCUCGCUCCUGCUGGAGCACAGCACUUUACCAGUGGCUAUGAAGAACAUUAACUCCAUCUGGGCUGCAUUCCCAGUACUGCUGCUUCACAAACCCAAUACUUGGGUGUUUGAGGUGCUGUGACAGCAUCAACCAGCAUAAGCAGGACAUGAGUGAUGAUGGUCCAAGUAAGUUUCUCACAGCUCAAGGCUACAGAGAGGUUUCCCUCCAGUCACGCAGUCCAGAUAGCAGUCCCAAGUGCACACACGCACUCUGCAGGGGCACAGAGAUGCUGCCAUAAGAUGUCAGGUGGAGCCAAAGGUGAGGCUGCAGAAGCAUCAGCAGUACCACAAAUAAACCCCUACUUAUGCCUGUACGUCCAAAUUGAGAUGCAUUUUUAUGAUACUCAUUGAGAAAAACAAUUCAUCAGUCAUUAGCUAUAUCACUUUUUAAUAAGAGUUAUUUUAGGGCAGUAGCAGUUAUCAAAAUGAAUCCCAGAGCCAGUGCCACUCACCCGUGGAUACAUGCAUCUCAGGACACAGUGGGACAGGGUCCAGGACUGGGGAAGGACAUCCCGCCAUCGCUCGCCAUGGCUCAGCGCUCCCUGCCAGCCGCAGCCCCUGCUCUGCAGGUGGACAGCAGGAACAGGCAGAAAUUCUGGCUCCUCCCAUCUGUCUCAUGGUGGACAUGUGAUUUUUGCGUGGACCAAGGAGGCAGCUGGGGUGAAAACCCCCAUGCCCGGGAGUCCCCUUCCAGCCUGCCCGUGCAGCCAGGGACACGUCUCCCGUGGUGCAGGGUUGGGUGACCAGGCAGGACAUCAGAGACCUGCCCUGGCGCAGGGGAAGCCCCAGCAGAGCCACUGCGGUCUGCAGAGACCAGAGCUGCCCUUCAGCACAGCUCUUCAGCUGCUCUUCCAGUGCCCAGCAAACUGCUCCAGUUUGUGUCCGAGCUGGCCUGGAGAUCACCUCUGCCCCAUCAGGACGCCAACCCGCCGGCAGGAUUGAGGACACCAGAGCACCUGGAUGUCCACCACGGACGCAGACCUGACAGUUUGCAUGGUCUGAUGGCGCGGCCGGCUGGCAAGGUGGAUUCAGUAAGCGCCGGGCUGCCGUGCCUGGCCCUGCGUGAUGAUGUCUUUUCUUCAUGGCCCCUAAAAUGCCAUUUCAAAUGCAACCAGCUGGCAUUUUUUGCAAGGGAUCCAGGACACAAGGUGAAAACAAGAGUGAAAGCAGGCUUUUGAACUUAAAAAAAUUACUUUUAUUUUAGGAACCAAUAAAAUUAUGGUAAGUAUUUACAAAUAAUUAUCUCACAUAAAGGUUACAUAAAACCAAAUGUCCACAAGUAACAGUCACUCUCAUGAAAAGACACACAGAUAUUGAACUACGCCAGUCUUAUUGCAUGUUUCUUCAACUAAUCUAAAAAUAAAGUGUUGCAGUCAACCAUUUAACUUAGAAUAAAAUCACAAAUUUCAGUAUCGACAAGAAAAAGAAUCGAAAAGAAACCCAAAUAAAUGAAAAAAACCCCUUCAAACGGCCCCUCCCUUUUGACCCAUGCCUUAGCACCCCCGCCCCGUCCACCUCCCCCUUUACUCCCCCAAACAAAUCCCAGAACAAAAUCCCCAAAAUAAUGUUCGACAUCUUUGGCAAAUUGGCACUGCUGUAAUUACAUUCAAAUAUUAUAACACACAAAAGCAACACACAGCACUAAGGAAAAAACACCAAGAUUUCAAGUCUGUUCUUUUCCUACUAGAAAAAAAGAAUACAAAACAUACACAUUUUAAGAAGCGUUUUUCAUCUGUUUUGCAACAGAUGUUAUCCCCUACUUUCAAAGGCAAUUCAACAGUUAUUUUUAUGAGUUUUUUUGUAAGCUUUUUGUUUGUUUGUUUGUAUGUAUUUUCCAGGGGGAGGAGGCUUUUAUUUCUCUCCCUCUUCUAUUUUUCCUCUCAUUUUUAAGAAGUAAGCUUCAAUGCAGGCAUUGCAGACUUUGGUGGAUACAGUAGAUAUGUAUUUCUUUGAUGCUAGAAGUCCCUAAUACAAAGUAGUUUGUCUCUAAGAAAAAAAAAAAAAAAAAAAAGCCUGUUCUCUUUUUUUUUUUUCUUGGAAAGGAAUUCCGUUUGCAAUGAAAUGAGUUUCUGUAAUUUCAGAAUGUACAAAGGCCACUAGAAAGUGAAAAACCAGGACAAGGUUUCUCCCCAUGCGAGGCUGAGCAAAGUGAGAGGCAGGUCUGGGUGCCCCCGGCACCGUCCCUCCUCAGGCAGGGCAGAGCAGCAGACCCUGGACACAAAGUCCAGCGGGGUGGUGGCCAAGGGUCCUGCAGGACUCAGGGCCAUCCCUCUGUGAGUCCCCCUGCCUAUCGAACACUCAAGCGUGCAGGGAGGUCCCUGCAGCGCUGCGGCGUGUCCUGCAAAUGCUCCUGCGCUGGAGCCCCCUCACAGGACACACCAGUGGAGGUGACAGCUGGAGACACCUGCGCCAGCCACCACACCGCAGUGAGCAGUCCUGGCACCAGGCACCUCUCGGACAUGUGUGUCCCCCAGUGUUUGCACGUCUAGUCUUUUAGCUCCACCAGAAAAGUGACACUAACUGGUUUUGAUGCUUUCAGACCUUUUCGUUUCUUAUGCUGUAGUAACAUGUACCUGUGACAGAGCGGGUUCUAGUCUGAGGACACAACGGGGCUCUCACUGGUGUCCCCACCUCAUGCCACCACCAAGUGCUCUGCCUCUGCCGUGGAGUGGUGGUGGCUGCCACUCGGGAUGCGUGCCCAGCACCCACAUUGGCUCUGCCUGCUUGUGCUCCACAGGGCUAUGGCCUGGGCACUCAGCAAGAGGCCACAGGGCACGUCACUCAAGAGCUGGUGGCCCUCUAACAUCAUUUUCUCAGUGAAUGCAGAAGAAAAAGUAGGUUUUCCCAGUAUUUGCUGGAAAGGAGUCACAGCGUGGGUCAGCUUAAUGCUGUGCUGGCUGUGCUGUCCAUGGCUGCACGUGUGGUGGUGGCACAGACAUGGGUGCACAGACAUGGGUGCACACAUGCGGGACAGAGCACAGCACCAGGAGGACACUCAGUGGCAGUCGUGUUGCUGCUGGCUGCAGCCGCGCGGAUUAACUCCGCUGAGGGUCAUGGCUCGUUGAAGCUCUGGGUACUCAUGGUUGGAAAUAAGCGACACCGUAACAUGGCUUACUCUCUCCUUCAUGGUGAAGGACAUGCAGAAUAGGUAAAAUAAAGAAAAUAAGAAAAGCAAUACAACUCCAUCAGUUACGAUCGAGCACAUCAGAGUGUUUAUGAACUGCCAGUGGCUGCUGGUGUGGGCAGAGUGGGGCCAGAGCGCUGCCUGGCACUGCAGCCCCACAGGGAGCCCGGAGCGGCACAGGCACCUGCUGCAGUGUCCCGGCACCCACUGCAGUGAGCUCCACUGGCCAUGCCUCCCUGCUCAGGCAGACUUUCUGCCAAAAACCGCCUUUCAGCUGGCUUCUUUUUCCUGUUUUUCCUCUUUUCUUUCUCUGGUGCUGUUUCUUUCCUCACUGUCUCCUCUCAAAGUGCCUCAAGUGCUGAGGCUGCCUGCGGUCCCGGCAUCCGUCAGGGCACUGCUCAGGCCUCUCUGCGUCUCGGCAUCAACAGGCACUCUGGCCCUGUGCUCCCAGAACCUGGAGCAUUUUUCUGACUUGACAGGAAACAAAUGAAGCUUUUGCUCUGCGGAUCUGGUUCCAGGACAUCCUUAGCCAUAGAGGCUAAGCAAACUCAAUGCAUUUUACAUCUUCUUUAUGAUUACACUCUCGCAGCUUGACUGAGGGUUUCCCCAACAGGUCAGUCCAUGUAAUCCUGGCUCAUGGCUACAUUGAUUUAGUCUUGCAGGAGCGUUUUCUCUCUUGAUCACUCAUAUUUCAUUUCUCAGCCUGUACUUGAAGAAUUUAUUGCUGGAGCACAUACUACUGGAAAACCCUCCAUCCAGCCGAGCGUAUGAUAGAUCCCUGCGCUGAUCUGGCUCUUUCUCCUCUUUGCAGCCCCACGGGGUCAUUUGCUUCCAGCUUCCACCUCACCCAGGGAUGUCCUGGCGAAACGGGACAGUUAGUGGCGACCAUCGCUGCUGAGCAGGGGCCGCGGAGGAGCGGGCAGCAGCAGCAAACUCUCCAUCAUCCCCAGAGGACAAACGUCUGCCAGCGGCACCUGUCAAAGGUGCUCCCUGAGGAGGAGGAUUCCCUCGGUGAAGACUAUGGACAAAAAGUCCAGACCUCCUGAGGAAAGCAGUUUGUAAAUUCUAGGUGAAAUAUUCUCAAAACCAGUAAGUAUGUCAGGAGGAGUCUGUACAGCAUCCAUACUCAGUGGCCUACCCUUAAUGGCUUUUCUGUUAGGGAAGCAGUCCCAGUAGAUAUAAGCAAGCCCAGCGGCCCUGCUUUGGGAUGUGGGCUGGAUGCAUCCAGUUUGCGUGUGGAAGGGUGAGUGUCGGGGGUUUCAUCUCUGCAGCUCCAGCCAGGAUCUUUCACUGCCCAUGCGCCUGCGCUGUCACUGCCUGCGCUGCCGGGUGGUGGCAUGGAGCACACCACCACGCCUGCAAGUGGCUCUGCCCAAGGGCCACGCUCAGGGCAUGCUGAUGAAAACCAUAGGGCCAGCCAGGUCCAAGAACCUCAGGUCACUUCAUCCAGCACCAUACAUGUAUCUUUCAGGGGAAAUAUACCACUGUGCCUUUCCUCAGUCCCCAGCCCAACUGCAGGUGCAGCUGGCUGGAGCAUGCCAACCUCUGCUGAGGUACCAUGUUUGGUCUUCUCAAUGUUAUCUGAAUUAGCACACAACACAGAAGCCAUGCCACCAAGGAAGCAAAUAAAAUAAAUAUGUUUGCAGGGCAGUAUGAAAGGUAGGUGGAAGACCCACAGGCCAUCAACAGGAGAUGCUGUUCCCUUGCUGGACAGACAGACAGAUUCAUUUUAGGCCAGCUUGGUCACCGAGCGGGUGGUGUCUCCAUAGGUGGUGUAGCUCAGCCCAGCUCUGCUCCAGAGCCAUCACCCACACCCUCACUGCCGAUGGUCAAACCCUCAUUUCUUUCCUCUUCAGCCGAGUCGCAGACAACCUCGUCCUUCCCUGAGCUCACAGAGAAGGUGUGUGCUCAGGGAGCAGACAACACACACACCCGGGCCCAGGGCAGGUGUGAAGAGUCCCCACACAGCCAGCGUCCAGGCACAGAAACACCCUCUGCAGCUUUGUCACCAGGGUGUGAGUGAUCACAGGGUGCUCAGAAGGAGACGACACCAAGGUAAUGCUUCAGAAAGUUUCCUGUGUAAAUUGUCCAUGCUGGCUUUUUCUUCCAUUAAAAAUGUGUCUGUAUAAGCUAUUAGUUUCUGAAAGAUGAAAAGCAGGACUUUUCUCACUGGUAAGUUUGUCACAAAACUUACUUCUAGGUUAGGGACACAGUUUGGAAGGACUUUGGCCAAGAUUCCCGACAGACCCUGUAAACAUCUCACUGAAACAUUGCUAAGCCAGUGGGAUGUGGGUGCCUUCACGGCUUUUAAGAAUCUGAACACACUGUCCUGGAAACCUGGAAGUGAUGGCUGCCUUUCCACACUGUGAGAAGAUGCCACUGGAGUUGGAGAGAGAGCUUCUGAACGGGUCAGCGGCCAUGAAGGGCGCCAGACACGCAGUACAAGCGAUGAGGUGGGGAGGGAGGAGGAGCAGGAGGAGUGUUAACUCAGGAGCUGCCAUUCCACAGAAAUGCUUGUACAGCUGGAAACAAGUGCUUGUACUUGAUUGUUCAUCCAUGGGAAUGCAUCUCAGGUUCAACACCAGCAAACCUUCUCCAGUCUUGGGACACACACAGGCACCAGCAGCACCCCUCUGCAGUGUCUGUGCUACACCAGGCUGGUGCAGAUCAUCGGGCUGGGAGUAACGAGGCCAUGGCCAGGUCUUCUUCUCAGCAGGGUCAGGCAGUAUUUCUGGUGCCCUCAGGACGAGGGAACAGGGUCAGGUCUGUCACCAAGGCAUGACUGAGGUUGGCUGCCCCUCAGCCUGGGACAUGAGGGGUUUGCAGGGUAAAUCAGCAGAUCUUGCUUCCAUGAAGGGGAAGUGGCUGCUGUAGCCAUUUCAUAGGUUGUUUGUAGCCACUCUUCUCUCUUCAUUGGCCUCAGGAAGCCACACACUGAUUAUUAGAGCAGGAGCCAGAAAUACAGAAUUCAUGAGGCAAAAUAACUCCUGGCACACAUCUGGACUAUGGCAGCUUUAAUUUGAAAUGCCUUUACUGAAAUCCAGAGCCCUCUAAAAUAGACAGCCUCCCCUCCAUUUUGCAUCAGAAAGUGCGUGUGGCCACCGCCACGCCCAGCACGUCGCGCUCAACGUGCCUGUUUCACAAAGUAAUCACCAUGGUAUCUCUCCCCAUUCCUCUCAUGGUGCUCAUAGUUGGGUUUUAGCACACAGCCUGUUGAGAUGUACAUAAGGUGUCAUUAUUUAAGAAUUCCUUCUUGGAUGCUGCUUGACUUUAAACUAGAGAAUUUGUUUCAGUGCUCAUCAUGAUGAAAAAUGAACAUAAUAUUAAGCAAUAAAAUGUCACAAAACUGCCCACUUCUUCAGUUGCCUAUGUGUUUGAUACCAGCAUAUAACAUGAUCACACACAACCAUCAGAUAGGAGGCUCUAUACAGAAAUAACGUCAGUCCGAAAUAUAAUCACAAUGAGUGUUAACCUGGUUCAAAGUUGCUUAAAGCUUACUGAAUUCUUUGAAUCAGUGCACCAGUUUCAAAACACAUUUUCAGAUGUGUUUUGAGUUCACAUUUGUACAACGUUGCUGCUUAUGUUUAAGUCAUUCUUAUAGUAAUAAAAACAAGCAAGUAUUUACAGUGGUGCUUGUGUAAAAUUGAGCAGACUGAUUUUUUUUUCCUUUGUCACAAAAAAAAAAAAAAAGGAAAGAGGAAAGGAAGAAAGAAAGAAAGAAAGAAAAAAAGAAAGAAAGAAAGAAAGAAAGAAAGAAAGAAAGAAAGAAAGAAAGAAAGAAUGAAGGAAAAGAAGGAAAAUUG